rfam:Schistosoma mansoni strain Puerto Rico chromosome 3, complete genome
AUCCAGCUGACGAGUCCCAAAAAGGACGAAGUCGCGCGCGUCCUGGAU